GACGAACGCUGGCGGCGUGCUUAACACAUGCAAGUCGAACGGAAAGGCCCUGCUUUUGUGGGGUGCUCGAGUGGCGAACGGGUGAGUAACACGUGAGUAACCUGCCCUUGACUUUGGGAUAACUUCAGGAAACUGGGGCUAAUACCGGAUAGGAGCUCCUGCUGCAUGGUGGGGGUUGGAAAGUUUCGGCGGUUGGGGAUGGACUCGCGGCUUAUCAGCUUGUUGGUGGGGUAGUGGCUUACCAAGGCUUUGACGGGUAGCCGGCCUGAGAGGGUGACCGGCCACAUUGGGACUGGGAUACGGCCGCGACUCCUACGGGAGGCAGCAGUGGGGCAUAUUGCACAAUGGGCGGAAGCCUGAUGCAGCAACGCCGCGUGCGGGAUGACGGCCUUCGGGUUGUAAACCGCUUUCGCCUGUGACGAAGCGUGAGUGACGGUAAUGGGUAAAGAAGCACCGGCUAACUACGUG
rnacentral:rRNA from 1 species